rnacentral:ribozyme from 1 species
CGUAAGUUUCAAUACACGAAAAGACAAGAGAAAGAGAAAGUAGAAAACAAAGGGCAUUUGAAGAAAAUCUCGUAAGCGCCUUGUUUUUUUUUAAAUUUAAGCUCGUCCGCCUUUUUAAUUUACC